GGACACAUGCAUGAGCACAUGAACAAGGAUGUUCAUCUCACUGUAGUUUAAAACAGUGGGGAGUUAGAGACAAGUCAAGUGUCCAUCCCUAGGGAAAUGGCCGACUGAUGGUGAAGUGGAUGAAUCUCAUGGACUUGUAAAUACCAGCAUGAAGCAACAGAUGUCAACAGCACAGCAUCCAGUGAAAGCAAUAAAGAACAACAAGAUCUACAUGGCAGUACCAUUUAUGCAAAUCAAAACACUGCACGUUUUAUAAGGACAUGAGCAUAGGUAAACAAAUAUUAAACACACCGCAGAGCCUGCCAAGGAAGAGGGGAUGGGAGUGAGAAUAAGAGGUAAAGGGGAAAAUGACAAAAUAAAACACAAGAGGACCUUCAUAGCAACAAUGAUGUGCUAUGAACUGGCAUAUGAUCAACUGAACCUCAGUUUUCUGUACUUAAAGGUCUAAGAGAAAAAGGAAGAAAAGAGGAUGACUGACCCGAGGUCACCCAGCAAGUCAGUGAUAAGGAAACUGAGUCUUGAAGAGGCUUAUCAACUUAUCUCCAGUCGCACAGAUGCUGAUUUUGACUUGAAGAAUUAACUAAUAUCCGUAAAGCACUUCACCAGUGCUGGCUGCAGAAUGGGAGCUUCAUAAAUGCCACUUCCUCUCUCCCUAACUCUCCUUCCUGGAAGAUUUCCUUCCAGUUUAUUAAGAAGACACAAUCCGCCAAGCUCUGAGUCUCAGAGUUGAAAACUUAAGGAGUCUGGGUGAAGGCUCCUUGGGACUUCAUCACAACCAGUUGGAUGCAGAGAGAGAAAAAUGGAGAACUCACAAAUUUCCGGAUUGGAUCCAUACAGUCUCAGGAACAAUCCUGCAAUGCCCAAAGGUUCCCCUGGUUUGCACAGGACUCUCAAAAUCACCCUGUUGAGAUCAUUUCCUCAUCUUUCAAAAGAGAUAAUUCAGGACUGGAGAAUGGGAAUGGCUUUCUCCAAGUCGGCCAUCCAGCCAGUGGAUAAGCCAGGAGGCAUUGGUGGUGAUGUGCACUGGCUUCAGAGACAGACAGGCCUGGGAUGGAAUCCCAGCUCUGCCACCUACUACUUGCUGGACAAUCUGGGCAAUGCAGAGUUUUGGAGGCUCAAUUUCCUCAUCUGGAAAAUGUGGAUGAUACACACCCAUACCUUCCUCUCAGCCUUGUCUUGGCUUUGGAAAAAGAUGACAUCGUUUAGAACCUCUAUAAUUUGUAUCAUGAUGUCCAGCAUCUAAUGAAAAAUUACAAGGCAUACACACAUGCACAAAAGGACAAAUGGACUGAAAUCCAAGAAAUUAAAAUAUACAAUAUAACAGACUCACACAUCAUUCAAGUAUUCAAAUAUUGAGCAGACAACAGGGCAAGCAGCCUAUAGAGGAUGAGAAGGAGAUCUGAGACUUUCAGCAUCUUGGGGCAGUACCUGUGGGGAUCCCAGGUAAGUAGAGUCAGUUUCAGGACCACUCUGAUGCCCUGGGUCUCCGUCAGUUGAAUCCUGAUGGCUCUGCGGUAGGGCAGACUUUAUAAAUGGCGAAUGGCCCCAUUGCUGGGAAGACGUGGCACUAGGAAACUGAUGAGAAGUCCUCAAUCUCACCACGUCCAUCCAAUACCUCCAAAGCAAACAUUCCUGCAUAGAAGUCCUAGAAGAUUAAGGAGAUAGAGACUCACUUAAGACAUUUGAUGGAAGUGUCAAAAACAUAUUUCAAACUGCACAUCACGAAUGUCAGCAAAUGCAGAGGUGUAGAGAAUGUUGGGAGCCCUGAGAGAGUCUGGAGGCUGCGUUCAUGACUCUCACUCAUGGCCCUAUCCUCUGGUUUCCUCAUUUGUGCCAUGAGUGCGGUGGACCUAAAGGACUGUGAAGGAGGAAGCCACUCAGUCUACUCUGAGUGGAGUCAAGGGGGGAUGUAUCCUGGCUUCAGUUCAGGGAGGCUUGAGUUUUAGCCUGGCUCUACCUAUGCCUUGCUCUUUGAUACUGGUCAGGCCUCAUGCCCUUUCUUGGCCUCAGUUCCCCCAUCUAUUAUAAUUCCAGCACUGAUAGGCAAUUUUCACAAAUGCUUGUGGAAUCCUCAUAGCAACCUUACCAUGUAAAAACUAUUAUUAGCCCCAGUUUACAGAAAAGGAAACCAAGACUCGAGAGGAAAAUUUUGCCCAAGGUCAUAGAGCUAGUCUAUAGUAGAAUCAGGUUGUGAAUCUAGUUCUGCCUUAUGCCCAAGCUUGUAACUUUGACACCACAUCUCAAAUUCCUCCUUUUAGAGCAGAGCUGAGGCCUUCUUAUUGGGUAGGAGGAACAGUUCUCUGUUACACUGAGAAGGCUUGUUCCUCCAGGCCUGAAGGACAGAUAUGCUUCAUCAUUUGCUCCAAAAACUGGGACCCCACUCAAGCUUUAAUUUCAAAAAUAUAUUAAAACAUAUAUUUCAGAUUAUU